AUGCUUAGCACAUGCAAGUCGAGCGAGAAUCGUUUUGCUGAAGGCUUCGGUCCGAUGCAGAAUGAGGAAAGCGGCGAACGGGUGAGUAACGCGUGGGCAACCUGGCCUUAAGAAAAGGAUAGCCCCCGGAAACGGGGAGUAAUACUUUAUGAGAAUAGAAAAGGGCAUCCUGUUUCUAUUCAAAGCGCAAGCGCUUAAGGAUGGGCCCGCGUAUCAUUAGCUAGUUGGUGAGAUAACAGCCCACCAAGGCAACGAUGAUUAGCCGGUCUGAGAGGGCGAACGGCCACAUUGGAACUGAGAGACGGUCCAAACUCCUACGGGAGGCAGCAGUGGGGAAUAUUGCGCAAUGGAGAAGAACUCUGACGCAGCAAUACCGCGUGAGCGAAGAAGGUCUUCGGAUCGUAAAGCUCUGUUAUCAGGGAAGAAGAAAAUGACGGUACCUGAUGAGCAAGUCCCGGCUAACUACGUGCCAGCCGCCGCGGUAA
rnacentral:rRNA from 1 species